UACGUAGGGUGCAAGCGUUGUCCGGAAUUAUUGGGCGUAAAGAGCUCGUAGGCGGUUGUUUAAGUUUGGUGUGAAAUCUCCCGGCUCAACUGGGAGGGUGCGCCGAAUACUGAAUGACUAGAGUGCGGGAGAGGAUAGUGGAAUUCCUGGUGUAGCGGUGAAAUGCGUAGAGAUGUGGAGGAACACCAGUGGCGAAGGCGGCUCUCUGGUCUGUAACUGACGCUGAGGCGCGAAAGCGUGGGGAGCAAACAGG
rnacentral:rRNA from 1 species